AUUGGACACAGCGCAUUUCCAUCCAUUUUCAUUUCUCAGCAAAUAAGCUUACAGCUUGUAAGAAGGGAAGUUGCCAUUUGUUGACCCCUCGAGGCUCCACCCCUGUUGCUGACCUUGUCUGCCGCCAUUUUAGUGGCAGCCUUGGUGGGUCCCACCUUGCGCAGCCUUCCUGUCCCAGGGCCUCCACAGCCACUAGCACAGACUGUUUGGCUCAUGUUCAGCUGCCUUCUCUGCCGCCCCCGCCACUUUGGGGUAGGGCCGGCUGCCAGCAGCCUCCCUCUCCUCAGUGGCAGCGACCUUGGUGGCCGCCAUAUUUGCUGCCUUUGUCGCUGCAGCCCCAUUUGCCGCUCCAGUUGAGGUCCUGACUGGUGAGUCCCUCCUGCUAUGUCUGCCUCCAAAAAGCAAGACCAGGACCAACAUAACCAGAGACAACCUGGUUAUGAGGCAGCCCUGGACCCCGGAGCUGUAGGGGGUAUUUUGGCGUCUCAAGAAUGGGUAGUUGAUGUUGAGGCAGAAGUAGUCCCUGAGGAUUUUCAGGAGGCUAUAGAAGACAUUUUUGAGGAGGAGGAGGUUGAGCUGGAUCAGGUCUGGGACCCCAUCGAGAACUGGUUUUUUCCCCUAUUAGAAGAGGACGAGGAGCUGGGAGAGGAGGAAGAAGAGGAGGAGGGGCAGGAACUUGAGGUGCAGGAGGAGAAGGAAAAGGAGGAGGAGGAGGAGAGUGAAAAGGAGGAGGAGGAGAGUGAAAAGGAGGAGGAGGGUGAUGAGGAGGGAGAAGAAGAAAGAGGAGGAAGUUUUUGAAGGAAAGGAGGAGGAUUAUGAAGGAGAUGAGGAAGACAAUGAAGGAGAGCACGAAGACUAUGAAGGAGAGGAGGAGGACUAUGAAGAAGACGAAGAGGAUGAAUUCAAAGAGGGGGACAAGGAGGAGGCUGAGGACGAGGUCAAGGAGCAGAAGGAAGAGGACAACAAAGAGGAUGCUGAAGUUGCUUCUGGCGCCUGUUCUCCUGAGCAUAGAGUGCAGGAUAUUGCUACUCAGUGUAAACAGGAAUAUUUUUUCCGAGAAAGUAUCCCAAUGUCUGUAUUAUGCUUCUCUGAAGAAGUCGCUGAAUAUAAGUAUGAAAAUUCUGAUGAAGAGGAUCAAGAAACUGGAGGCAAGAAGGAGAACGAAGAGGAUGAAAAUGAAGAACUGGGUGAAGGACUCAGAAAGGAUCUAGACUCAGCAGAGGACAGCCCCAUCAAAAAAUCCAGCUUGGAGGCAAGAAAGAAAUAGAUGGAGAAAGAAGAAAUUAAUUUCCUUUUCGUGAAUUUUCUAGUUUUCAGUAGCUCAAACCACUGUUUUUGUUAAAGUUCAUUACACAAAAUGAUACCAACUGAUAUCUGACUUUACUCUUACCUAUUACACAUAUAUUUGACAGCAUUUGUUCAUGUUAAAAAAUAAAAGCUUGUUUGAAAUGAGUACUUUGCA
rnacentral:lncRNA from 13 species